CGGAGAGCGGAUCGCGGGGCGCAGGAGCCCGAUCGCGCUGGCCAUGGCCUCCAACUUUAACGACAUAGUCAAGCAGGGCUACGUGAAAAUCCGCAGCAGGAAGCUUGGGGCAUAUAAGGACGAACCCACGGGAAAAGCUGCGGUUCUCCAGGAGUCUGGUUGUUCCUCGCAGCCGGGACGGAAUGCUCAAGUCUGUCACCACACAGCUGUCAGCCAAGGGAGGUGCAGAGCUGGAGGUGGAAGGGAGUCGUCUUCUUAGCUUGACCUUUGAAGCCCUUUGCUUUACGACUGGAUGCUUGAUCAUUUUUCUCGGCCUUUGAUCUUCUUGAAAUCGCAAUUGUAUCUGAUGCCUCAGACUAUAUAAACUAAUGGAUGAGUUAAGUCCCAGACAAGAUGUAUGUCUGCGUUCACAGAGUCACCUGCAUAUGAAAAUGAGACUGAAGAAUGUAGCCUGAGCAUCCCCUUCCUGCGCACUUGGCCCUGGAGUCUAUAGGAUUCCCCUCCACCCCAUCCAAGCCCUCCAGGAUUUCACACAACAAAAAC
rnacentral:lncRNA from 1 species